rnacentral:sRNA from 1 species
GAUCCUAGACUUUGAGUCUAAGGGUUCUAGGAUGUGAGUUAGUAGUCGGAUCUUUGAAAGGAUCGACUAGAAGGCUGGGUAGUAUCCGGGUCAUGUGCAUCCUACACAAGACUCGGUCCGGGUAGGGAUCGGCUGAGGCGGGGACGCGGCUCGGCGGAGGACCGGCGGGUCUUAACUGACCUGCCGAGAAUCGGCCGGACUGAUGCGCGAUCUUCCCCUCUCUGAAUUCUCUUCACGGAUCCGAGUAGUGUAUGGCAUAUAGAGCAUUGCAUGGACUUGCAUAUGAUUAAGUAAAUGAGAUUA